ensembl:lncRNA
CAGGUGGUGCUAGGUGGUGCUAUGAAGUGUUAGGUGGUGCUAUGAAGUGUUAGGUGGUGCUAGGUGGUGCUAUGAAGUGUCAGGUGGUGCUAGGUGGUGCUAUGAAGUGUUAGGUGGUGCUAGGUGGUGCUAUGAAGUGUUAGGUGGUGCUAUGAAGUGCUAGGUGGUGCUAGGUGGUGCUAUGAAGUGCUAGGUGGUGCUAUGAAGUGCUAGGUGGUGCUAUGAAGUGUUAGGUGGUGCUAGGUGGUGUUAGGUGGUGCUAUGAAGUGUUAGGUGGUGCUAGGUGGUGCUAUGAAGUGUUAGGUGGUGCUAUGAAGUGUUAGGUGGUGCUAUGAAGUGUUAGGUGGUGCUAUGAAGUGUUAGUUGGUGCUAGGUGAUGCUAUGAAGUGUUAGGUGGUGCUAUGAAGUGUUAGGUGGUGCUAUGAAGUGUUAGGUGGUGCUAGGUGGUGCUAUGAAGUGUUAGGUGGUGCUAUGAAGUGUUAGGUGGUGCUAUGAAGUGUUAGGUGGUGCUAUGAAGUGUUAGUUGGUGCUAGGUGAUGCUAUGAAGUGUUAGGUGGUGCUAUGAAGUGGUAGGUGGUGCUAUGAAGUGUUAGUUGGUGCUAGGUGGUGCUAUGAAGUGCUAGGUGGUGCUAUGAAGUGUUAGGUGGUGCUAGGUGGUGCUAUGAAGUGGUAGGUGGUGCUAGUUGGCGCUAUGAAGUGUUAGGUGGUGCUAUGAAGUGUUAGGUGGUGCUAGGUGGUGCUAUGAAGUGGUAGGUGGUGCUAUGAAGUGUUAGGUGGUGCUAGGUGGUGCUAUGAAGUGUUAGGUGGUGCUAGGUGGUGCUAGGUGGUGCUAUGAAGUGGUAGGUGGUGUUAGGUGGUGCUAGGUGGUGCUAUGAAGUGGUAGCUGGUGUUAGGUGGUGCUAGGUGUUGCUCGGUGGUGCGCUAUGAAGUGUUAGGUGGUGUUAGGUUGUGUGAGGUGGUGCUAAGUGAUGCUAUGAAGUGGUAGGUGGUGCUAGGUGGUGCUAUGAAGUGCUAGGUGGUGCUAUGAAGUGUUAGGUGGUGCUAGGUGGUGCUAUGAAGUGCUAGGUGGUGCUAUGAAGUGUUAGGUGGUGCUAGGGGGUGUUAGGUGGUGCUAUGAAGUGUUAGGUGGUGCUAUGAAGUGCUAGGGUGUGCUAUGAAGUGUUAGGUGGUGCUUGGUGGUGUUAGGUGGUGCUAUGAAGUGUUAGGUGGUGCUAUGAAGUGUUAGGUGGUGCUAUGAAGUGUUAGGUGGUGCUAUGAAGUGUUAGGUGGUGCUAGGUGGUGCUAUGACGUGUUAGGUGGUGCUAUGAAGUGUUAGGUGGUGCUAUGAAGUGUUAGGUGGUGUUAGGUGGUGCUAUGAAGUGGUAGGUGGUGCUAGGUGGUGCUAGGUGGUGUUAGGUGGUGCUAUGAAGUGUUAGGUGGUGCUAGGUGGUGCUAUGAAGUGUUAGGUGGUGCUAUGAAGUGCUAGGUGGAGUUAGGUGGUGCUAUGAAGUGCUAGGUGGUGCUAGGUGGCACUAUGAAGUGUUCGGUGGUGCUAGGUGGUGCUAUGAAGUGCUAGGUGGUGCUAGGUGGUGCUAUGAAGUGUUAGGUGGUGUUAGGUAGUGUUAGGUGGUGCUAGGUGGUGCUAUGAAGUGCUAGGUGGUGCCAGGUGGUGCUAGGUGGUGCUAUGAAGUGUUAGGUGGUGUUAGGUAGUGUUAGGUGGUGCUAUGAAGUGCUAGGUGGUGUUAGGUAGUGUUAGGUGGUGCUAGGUGGUGCUAUGAAGUGCUAGGUGGUGCUAUGAAAUGCUAAGUGGUGCUAGGUGGUGCAAUGAAGUGUUAGGUGGUGUUAGGUAGUGUUAGGUGGUGCUAGGUGGUGCUAUGAAGUGCUAGGUGGUGCUAGGUGGUGCUAGGUGGUGCUAUGAAGUGUUAGGUGGUGUUAGGUAGUGUUAGGUGGUGCUAGAUGGUGCUAUGAAGUGCUAGGUGGUGCUAUGAAGUUUUAGGUGGUGUUAGGUAGUGUUAGGUGGUGCUAUG